CAAUGUUCUGGUUGGGUAAUGGGAUGCUCUGAGAAAUACAACAGAAGCUCCAGGCAGAUCUGAGAGAAUGACCAGAUAAGUCCUAAUUUUCCCUAUGAAGUUCUUUCUGAUCAUUUUUUUAUUUGGACUUUCAGGGAUUAACAAAAAUUUCAGCACUUUAAUAGAUGAGAAAACUGAACCACAGAGAGCUGAAGUCAAUUGCCCAAAGUCAUCUAAUGGAUAGCAGAGUCAAGACUAGAGGCCCUCAGUGACUCCCACCUCUUAGUUGAGGAUUCCUUCCUGUCUAUCAGUUGGUUGCCUACAAGUGACAUUCAAGUCAACUUACAUUUGUUGAACAUCUACCAAAUGCAGAGUGCUGAACUAGAUGGCAGGACAUAAUUUAACCAAGACACCAUAACUGUCCUCAGGAAGUAGACUUUUUAGUAGCAGAACAUGCACAAAUUGAAUUAUGUCAUAUAUGUGAUAAAAGUAUGAAAUGGAUGCAAAGUCAAAUUUUAAAUUUUAAUUAAUUUUGUUUUGUCAUUAACUUUUUUCUGGGAACAAAAUUUAUGUAGAAAUCUCUGUUUGUUGGCCAUACUUGCAUUCCAGUUUUGUCCAAAACCAAUAUUUAAAUAAGAUCUGAAGGAAAAGGUUAUUACUGACAUUAAAGCAAUAAUUACCAACAAGCAUUAAAGGCAACUAUCAUAAUGAUGAUGUAGAGUGAGUGCAUAAUAAAUAUUUGUUGGAUGGAUGAAUGAAUCUGGGA
rnacentral:lncRNA from 1 species